GAGGAAAGUUGGAGGCGUGCCUAAUACAUGCAAGUCGAGCGAACAGACGAGGAGCUUGCUCCUCUGACGUUAGCGGCGGACGGGUGAGUAACACGUGGAUAACCUACCUAUAAGACUGGGAUAACUUCGGGAAACCGGAGCUAAUACCGGAUAAUAUAUUGAACCGCAUGGUUCAAUAGUGAAAGACGGUUUUGCUGUCACUUAUAGAUGGAUCCGCGCCGCAUUAGCUAGUUGGUAAGGUAACGGCUUACCAAGGCAACGAUGCGUAGCCGACCUGAGAGGGUGAUCGGCCACACUGGAACUGAGACACGGUCCAGACUCCUACGGGAGGCAGCAGUAGGGAAUCUUCCGCAAUGGGCGAAAGCUUGACGGAGCAACGCCGCGUGAGUGAUGAAGGUCUUCGGAUCGUAAAACUCUGUUAUUAGGGAAGAACAAAUGUGUAAGUAACUAUGCACGUCUUGACGGUACCUAAUCAGAAGGCCACGGCUAACUACGUG
rnacentral:rRNA from 1 species